AUUUGCUGAAUGUUUUAUGCGAUCCUUUGCUCACAGUCAGGAAAGAGGAUGGCCUAUUAAUCGCUUCCUAGGAGUUUGAGCUCCAGAAGCUCUGUAUUUCUGCACACUGAAGCUGCAUGCCUAAGCAGAGCCUUCUCCACAGCCUUGACUGGUGGUUUGGUGAAGUCCUUGGUCCUGUGGUUACGAUUCCAACAAGAGACAGCACAGCUGGAUAGGUACUAGAAGACUGGAAGCUUGCCAGUGUGACUCCCAUCUACAAGAAGGGUCAUAAGAAGUAUCUGAGGAACUACAGGCAUGUCAGCCCGACCUUGGUGCCAGGAAAGAGGUGCAAGGAGUAGAAAACCACACCAAGCCACAUAUACCACAUAUCCCCACGGAAAAGCCGGUGCAGCAGCUGUGCUCUAAAUGACAGCUUCCAAUCUAUCCCUACAGUGAUGCUUCUUUACUACACCUUCCAAAGCCUCUGUUUUUUUCACAUCCUUAUCCUGUUUGACUGUGCAGGAGGAAUGGUAUGAUGGCUGUUAAGGAGAUGUGUAUUCCUUGGAAAAGGAGAAACGUGCCUGCUGGGCCACAACCCACUGCUGAUCUGACACUAAAUUUCAGUGGGAAACAAUUAAGCAUUUGUCCCAGAAUCUGUGCAAAGUCUUUAAAAAGAAAAUUACUGAGAGCAGAGAAAAUGGUUUUAUGUAUCAGAGUGGAGUGUCUUCAGUUCAAAAUCUUUUUCUUCCAUUACACAUCCACAAGGAAGCUGACAGGACUAUUUGCAGUAAGUCAGUGUCCUUCUAUUCUGCUUAGUCCUACUUGUACUCUGAAGAGAUGAUUUAAAAGAACAUGAGUAUGGGAAGGAUGUCUGCAGACUUACAUAGAAGAAGAAAAUUUUUAGGGAGAGUUAGUGAAGCUAGGCCCCAGUCUAGGUCAGUCAUCUGGAGCCUCUUCUUCUAAGCAUCCCUCUAGGAGUUUUCUAAAGAACAAAAACCGAAACAGAAAUAGAAUAUUAAGAGAUGUCCACCAUGAACAUCAUCAGCCCCAAGAAAAUUCCCAGGUGCAACUUCCAGCAUUUUUGAAAACUUUUAUAACAUUUCAGAACAAAAAAGCACAUGCAAAAAUAUGAGUCUACCUGGUAUUUUUCUUGGCCUCCAUGCUAGAAUAACUUGCCAGUAGCAAAUUCCACACUCUGAAACCACGGUUCUCUCUACACAGUUGUAUGUUUCCCAUCAUACACACACACACACAGACACACACACAUCGCAUAGAAAAAUAUUCAAAAGGCCAGUAUCAACAUUAUAAAAAAUAUCCCCCAAAGCUAGUUAUCACCUCCCCUGUGAGCGGGAACACUAGGCUCUUAUGCUCAGCAUCCAGGCACAGCUAAACCUCCCUUGUCCAGCAGAACAGCACCCCUUGUCAUUUCAUACAAACUUCAAAUGCACCUCUUAAAGAAACAUUUGUGAGUCUUCCCACAUACACUCAGGUAUAUUUCUCUCUUGUUUCACCUUUUUUGCUGUAUUCCUUCACUUUCUGCUGUAUGGCUCACAACUCUUUGCUGCUCUCUUUCUCAGCAUCCACUCUCCCUGUAUCUGCAAAGACAAGCAAG
ensembl:lncRNA